UCAGGAAUGAUGUACCUCAGGAAUCGCCCGUCUCUGUCAAGCAUGUGAAUCUUGUGUCCUCCAAUAUCUGUAACGAUGACGUGACCGACACAAUCAGUGGCGACUGAAGAAGGCUUAAAUUUACUGUCCUUCUUAGAGUACGAGUACCGGAAUAUGCCCAAUCUAUCGACAGCAAUGACUGCUUUUUUCUCCCAGUCAGUUACAAUGAUGUCCCCGUUGACAUUCUCAGUGAUGUAUUUCGCGUCUUUGUACAGAGGUUGACACUGCGAGUCGUACUGGAUUUCCUGGAGCACGGUACCGGUACUGCUGUAUCGGACGACUUUGGACUGAUCGUCUUUACGGAGACAGACCAGUAGAUCUCCGGAUGCGGUGCUUGUGACGCCGUAUAGCUUCCAGUCCCCGGUAGUGAACAUCGUCACCACAGUGUCGGUGUCAGAUAUCAUUCUCACGGCUUUAUUGGGAUGAUCACUGUACACUACUUGUUUGUUGUACAUACAUAAGUAGAAACCAAGGACAGUAAUGCUGACGGUGUGGUGGAGGUGUCCCUGGAGAUCAAACAACUUCAGUUCUGUGCUCUCUCCUCCCAUCCACACUUUGUUAUCGUCGGUAACGACCAUGCCAUACAGACGAGAUUUAUACUUUUCACUAGCAGGGAACCCAGUGUCUAUAACAGUAGUAAUUGUUGGUACAUAUAAUAUUCUUCUACCCGGUAAAUCAUUGUCUUUGAAAUUAUUUUCGAAGAGCGACAUUUUCUUUACCUGUGUUUUUUCAACGUAUCCGAAAUAAGUUUGUAAAUAAUUUGGAUCUAUUUUGCAUUCAAAAAAUGUCGGAAAUGAAUACUGUGAGAACUCUUUCAAGGUCUCUUGUUUUUCAAUCAUUGGCUUGAAUCUUUGUAUUUCUAUGGCGUUUUUUGAUUUAUGUAAUUCGAUCACUUUUUUGUUUAUUUCAUCCACUUUCUCAAUCAUUUCUUCAAACCCUUUCUUUUGUUUCUGUAGUACAGCCUCGUGUUCCUUUUGCAUGUCAUCCAGUUCCUGGUGAAGUUUCUUCACGGUCUCUUCGAUCUGUUUGUGCCACUUUUCUCCCCGGGCUGUAACUUCAUCUUUUUUCUUUUUGUAAUUCAACGGUAACCAUGACAGCUGUUUUGUCGUAUGAUUCAGAAUUUUUUCUAAAUCCUGUUUGGACGACUGAAGUCUUUCGUUUUCCUUUGCAAUAACAUUUAAAAGUUCUUCAGUUUUACCUUGUCUAUUAAGUUCUUUGAUUUUAUCGGACAGCUCUGAAAUUUCGUGUGUUUUGUGUGUGAUGGAAACACAAAGGAAGCAUAUUGGAACAUCGCACGUUUUACAGUAUGCGGAACAAUCAUUGAGCGGAUGGGACUCACACAGGCAUGUUUUUUCAUCCUCCCUGCUGGUAAAAUGCACGACGUCAUGACCUGUUUUAGAUUUCAAGCGUAAGUGAACUGGAACGCAAGGGUCACAGAGAUUGACCCCGCAUCGUCUGCAGAAAAAGGACACUGGUUUCUGACACAGAUCACACUCGACGAAAUGUUGGCCUUGGGUUGACUGUUCGGAUGCCAUUCAUAGAUUGUGAAACCUAUAAUUUAUAUAA
rnacentral:sRNA from 1 species